GGUAAAUCUCGUGCCAGCCACCGCGGUCAUACAAGAAACCCAAAUCAAUAGUCACCCGGCGUAAAGAGUGGCCAUAUGUUAUCUCCAACGACUAAGAUCAAAAUGUAACUAAGCUGUCAUAAGCCCAGGAUCCACUUAAGGCCCCUCAUCUUAGCUGCAUGAUUAAUUUAAGCCCACGAAAGCCAGGGUACAAACUGGGAUUAGAUACCCCACUAUGCCUGGCCCUUAAUCUAGAUACCUAUAUACCCUUGUAUCCGCCUGAGAACUACGAGCACAAACGCUUAAAACUCUAAGGACUUGGCGGUGCCCUAAACCCACCUAGAGGAGCCUGUUCUAUAAUCGAUAAUCCACGAUUCACCCAACCACCCCUUGCCCAAACAGCCUACAUACCGCCGUCGCCAGCCCACCUAAAUGAAAGACCAAAAGUGAGCUCAAUAGUCCCCGCUAACAAGACAGGUCAAGGUAUAGCCCAUGGGGUGGAAGAAAUGGGCUACAUUUUCUAAUAUAGAAUAGAACGAAAAAGGACGUGAAACCUAGUCCUUGGAAGGAGGAUUUAGCAGUAAAAUAGGAUCAUACUUUUCAAGCCUAUUUUAAGACGGCCCUGGGGCACGUACAUACCGCCCGUCACCCUCUUCAUAGGCCACAAACAACAAUAAAUAAUACUUCCCAUAAAGCCAAAGACGAGGUAAGUCGUAACAAGGUAAGCAUACUGGA
rnacentral:rRNA from 1 species